ACGGCUGAGGACAACGGAAGGAACCUGCCCACCUGGGGGGAUACCACCGCGAAAGCGGUGCUAAGACCGCGUACGCUGGUUCUCGGGAGAGGGGAUCAGGAAAACCUGACGGUGCAGGUGGAGGGGCUUUCGGCCCAUCAGGUAGUUGGUGUGGUAAGGGCGCACCAAGCCGAUGACGGGUAGCUGGUCUGAGAGGAUGAUCAGCCAGACUGGGACUGAGACACGGCCCAG
rnacentral:rRNA from 1 species